GCCAAGGGGGCUGUGCAGCGCGGAGCAGCCGGCCUGCGUGUGUUUUUUUGCUCACUGGAGCACAGCCACCUUCCUGAGGGAAUGGGGCUUUCGUCACACACUGUCCCCAGCCACUGAGCACCCAUGUCUGUGCCUUGCAGGUGCCUGAAAACCCGUUUGAGGGGCAACGUUGGGACACUGAAAUGGGAUGGCAGCCACAUCGAACUAUUUACAUAGCUCCAGACAUGCUGAAAGGACAGCCGAGGAGGGGCAUUUGUUAUGAUUACUUCAUUAAUGCUUUAUGAAAUCAAGAGAAAUCACAGCAAACGCGGAGCAGCCACGAACGCCCAAGGGCUGAGUCACUGACUUUUGUCAGUCUCCCACCAUGGAUAGCAGAGGGGAGGGAGAAUAGAAAGAAGAAACAGACAGAAAUUGCUUCAACACCAGCCAAAAGUUGCAUAAAAAGGCCCAAAUGUUAUGGAAUCUGAAACAAAAUCAAGCACAAACAAUUCCUGCCAAAUCUCCUUUGAAAUGCUGGAAAUCUGGAAGCGUUCAGUGCAGCUAAAUGGCAGCUUUCUAGCCUGGAUGCCAGUGGAGUGGUCAGGGCAAGAAUCUUGCUUUGCAGGUGGGAUGUCCAUGUUCUUGAUCCCAUCCAGGCAGCCAGGCCCUGCACCUCUUCCCUGCUGGGAGGACAUUUGCUUUGCAAAGAGACGAUGCCAAGGCUGUUGUUGAAAUGUGGAGGACUGAUCACCAACACGAGUCGGGGCCUGAGUCAAUCUGGUGAGCACACACUGGAGUGGUGCAGAGGACCUCUGCCUGCUUUCAGCCCUGGUUGUGUGAAGACCAAGCCUUAGAGUCCAGUUUUUCUAAGACCUUCCCAACCUGUGUGCCCAGGCUGCCAGCCCCUCCCAAAACGCACUGACAGAAAACAAAUCACUGCACACAGCUGUGCAGUUAACAACAUUGCUCUUAAUGAGUCCCUGAUACUGGUUCCCCAAACGUGGCUGUGCAUGCUUCUUCAGGGAGCUCUGUGGAGCAGUGCACAGUCCAAAGCCUUCUGAGAAGAGCAGAACGGGACCUCCAGGUUCUGAUUUGUGGUCUUUACGUGGCUUGUUGCAUCCAGGUCAGUGCUCUGAGAGCUGCUGAAAGCCAAAUACGCAGGUCACCCCACUGGCGUUUGAUAUUUCAACCUGUUGUGAGGAAACGUUUUGUUCUG